UAUGUGGACAUAAGGCUUACCC
rnacentral:miRNA from 1 species